GCCGGGCAUGUUGGCGGGUGCCUGUAAUCCCUGCUACUUGGGAGGCUGAGGCAAGAGAAUCACUUGAACCUGGGAGGUGGAGGUUGCAGUGUGCUGAGAUUGUGCACUGCAUUCUAGCCUGGGUGACAGAGUGAGACCUUGUCUCAA
rfam:Homo sapiens chromosome 3, GRCh38 reference primary assembly.